GCGGCAAGCCUAACACAUGCAAGUCGAGCGGCAGCGGAAGGAAGCUUGCUUCCUUGCCGGCGAGCGGCGGACGGGUGAGUAAGGUAUGGGGAUCUGGCCGAAGGCGGGGGAUAACCACUGGAAACGGUGGCUAAUACCGCAUAAUCUCUAAGGAGCAAAGUGGGGGACCAUUAUGGCCUCACACCUUCGGAUGAACCCAUAUGAGAUUAGCUAGUAGGUGGGGUAAAGGCUCACCUAGGCGACGAUCUCUAGCUGGUCUGAGAGGAUGAUCAGCCACACUGGGACUGAGACACGGCCCAGACUCCUACGGGAGGCAGCAGUGGGGAAUAUUGCACAAUGGGCGCAAGCCUGAUGCAGCCAUGCCGCGUGUAUGAAGAAGGCCUUCGGGUUGUAAAGUACUUUCAGUCGUGAGGAAGGUGUUAAGGUUAAUAGCCUUAGCAAUUGACGUUAGCGACAGAAGAAGCACCGGCUAACUCCGUGCCAGCAGCCGCGGUAAUACGGAGGGUGCGAGCGUUAAUCGAAAUUACUGGGCGUAAAGGGCACGCAGGCGGUUAAUUAAGUUGGAUGUGAAAUCCCCGGGCUUAACCUGGGAAUGGCAUUCAAGACUGGUUAGCUAGAGUCUUGUAGAGGGGGGUAGAAUUCCAUGUGUAGCGGUGAAAUGCGUAGAGAUGUGGAGGAAUACCGGUGGCGAAGGCGGCUCCCUGGACAAAGACUGACGCUCAUGUGCGAAAGCGUGGGGAGCAAACGGGAUUAGAUACCCUGGUAGUCCACGCUGUAAACGAUGUCGAUUUGGAGGUUGUGGUCUAGAACUGUGGCCUCCGGAGCUAACGCGUUAAAUCGACCGCCUGGGGAGUACGGCCGCAAGGUUAAAACUCAAAUGAAUUGACGGGGGCCCGCACAAGCGGUGGAGCAUGUGGUUUAAUUCGAUGCAACGCGAAGAACCUUACCUACUCUUGACAUCCAGCGAAGCCUUUAGAGAUAGAGGUGUGCCUUCGGGAGCGCUGAGACAGGUGCUGCAUGGCUGUCGUCAGCUCGUGUUGUGAAAUGUUGGGUUAAGUCCCGCAACGAGCGCAACCCUUAUCCUUUGUUGCCAGCGAUUCGGUCGGGAACUCAAAGGAGACUGCCGGUGAUAAACCGGAGGAAGGUGGGGAUGACGUCAAGUCAUCAUGGCCCUUACGAGUAGGGCUACACACGUGCUACAAUGGCGUAUACAGAGAGAGGCGAGCCUGCGAGGGGAAGCGGAACUCAGAAAGUACGUCAAAGUCCGGAUUGGAGUCUGCAACUCGACUCCAUGAAGUCGGAAUCGCUAGUAAUCGCGGAUCAGCAUGUCGCGGUGAAUCCGUUCCCGGGCCUUGUACACACCGCCCGUCACACCAUGGGAGUGGGUUGCAAAAGAAGUAGGUAGCUUAACCUUUUGGAUGGCGCUUACCACUUUGUGAUUCAUGACUGGGGUGAAGUCGUAACAAGGUAACCGUAGGGGAACCUGCGGUUGGAUCACCUCCUUA
rnacentral:rRNA from 1 species